rnacentral:rRNA from 1 species
UGGGGAAUCUUGCGCAAUGGGCGAAAGCCUGACGCAGCGACGCCGCGUGAGUGAUGAAGGCCUUCGGGUUGUAAAGCUCUGUGGGGAGGGAAGAAUGAGUGCAGCCUAAUACGUUGCAUGAUGACGGUAUCUCCUUAGCAAGCACCGGCUAACUCUGUGCCAGCAGCCGCGGCAAGACAGAGGGUGCAAACGUUGUUCGGAAUUACUGGGCGUAAAGCGAGUGUAGGCGGUCUGAAAAGUCGGGUGUGAAAGCCCUGGGCUCAACCCAGGAAGUGCACUUGAAACUGCCAGGCUAGAGUGUCGGAGAGGUUGGUGGAAUUCUCGGUGUAGAGGUGAAAUUCGUAGAUAUCGAGAGGAACACCGGUGGCGAAGGCGGCCAACUGGACGAACACUGACGCUGAGACACGAAAGCUAGGGGAGCAAAC